ensembl:lncRNA
UCUGGUUGUGUGAUAGUGUUUAUUUCAAUAAAUCACAUGUUACUUAUAAUGUAGUCAUAACUUUACAACAGACAGAGCCUGGUAGUCUAACACAGCAACAUCAACAGCACUGGAAGAUACCUCCUGUGCCUUCUACAUCCACCUCCUUCCCUGUUAUCAUAAGCUUCAUAGCCUGACCCCUCCAUUCCUCUAUUCCUUCUACAUCCACCUCCUUCCCUGUUAUCAUAAGCUUCAUAGCCUGACCCCUCUAUUCCUCUAUUCCUUCUACAUCCACCUCCUUCCCUGUUAUCAUAAGCUUCAUAGCCUGACCCCUCCAUUCCUCUAUUCCUUCUACAUCCACCUCCUUCCCUAUUAUCAUAAGCUUCAUAGCCUGACCCCUCCAUUCCUCUAUUCCUUCUACAUCCACCUCCUUCCCUAUUAUCAUAAGCUUCAUAGCCUGACCCCUCCAUUCCUCUAUUCCUUCUACAUCCACCUCCUUCCCUAUUAUCAUAAGCUUGAUAACCUGACCCCUCCAUUCCUCUAUUCCUUCACACCCCCACCCCUUCAUACCCCUAACCCUCUAUAACCCCCCCCAUUUAUCCAUACCCCUGUUCCGCCAUUCCACCAACUCUGCAUAACCCCACCUCUCCAUUCCUCUACUCCUCCACAGCAAGAAAUCCUGGGUAACAUCCAGAAUGGCACCUUAUCUCCAGCACUACCACAGGGGUCCUAUAGGGGGAGCCAUUCCAGAUCUGCCCUUUGGUUUGCAGGGGAAAAGACAAUGUGCGCUGCUAAAAUACAGCUUCCCUUCUGACCAGGCAUUUGACUGUUUUAGACUGUAUUUUUACAAUAUUUUCUACUACUGUAUUCCACAAUAAUCAAAUCAUGAUAUUUAUUGUGGAAUACAGAAGUAUUCCACUUCUGCAUUCUGCUAUGCUCUAUCUACACUCUAUACUACUACUGUAUUCAUACUUUACUAUAUUCCACUAUACUCCACUCUAUUCAUGCUUCACUGUAUUCAAUUAUACUCCACUCUAAUAAUACUUGACUGUAUUCCACUCUUUUCAGACUGUACACUGAUGGUUCUCUAAUUUAAAGUCACACGUCUAUUACAACUGUCCCAGUGGCCUGUAAGUUGCACACUCGUCCAUGAGUAGAUUACAGCACUACAUCAUGUAUGACACAGAGGGCAUGUCCAAAAUGACAUCCCUUUUCCUAUAUAGUGGGGGAGGUUAUUCCCUGUUUAGUGGCCAAACUUUGAUCAGAGUCUUACAUAGGAAUGGGGGUGCCAUUUCAGAGACUGACACAGCUCGAGAUGUAAAUCGAACCAUAGAGAAGGAUGGAGGCCUCUAGGUUUCGAAGGCUGUUUUAGCAUGGACACUGCCACUGAAGGAGUUCACCUUUAAGUAGUCAAUUGACUUCUGACUUUGUUGGCGGGACCCUCCUGUUGACUGUGUUUGUGGCGUGCCCAACCACCACAUUACAUUUGCAGCUCAGUCAUUUUGUAGACGGUUCAGAGCGAUUUACAGAGUUUCUUGCUCAAGUACAAAACCGAUUGUUCACCUUGUUGGCUUGUGCUUGUGAGUGUGAACAGCACCUGGUCUCCAAAGCUGAUAAACAAUCAAAACAAAUCCCUGUGUUCCUGAGUAGAACACCUGGUCUACAGUAUGUAAAGUCCCAAAUAGCGCAUCAGUACUUAUAUGGUACAGUGGGGGCAAUAUUUUAGGGUGUCAUUUGGGAUGCAACCUAAACACUACAGGGCCAACCAUCUCUCAGGAAUGUGUGAAGUGGUAAUAAAAUAAACAUCUGUUUUUGCAAGACCUUUUAUUGAGAAAAGUAGUUAUAUGAUUUUUUUAAAUGUCUUGAGGACAGUUGGUUAUUGGGGAGAGAAUGACACCCCCCACCAGCCUAUUAACUAACUGUCUGCCACUCCCAGUCACAGACUCUAGAAGGUUUCAGCCAUAGAGGUGGACAGACAGAUCUUAAGUGUAUCUGUGCCAUAGAGGUGGAAUGACUGCAUAAGUGAAUCCGUGCCACAGAGAUGGAAUGUAUGUAUGUAUCCGUUAAAUUAUAGCAUCUGUUCCAAAAUGGGUUAUGGCCAUUUCAAGUUAGUUUAUUUCUAUAUUAUUAAUUGGUUUAUCUCUCCUGAUGAGCUGAUUGGAGUUGUGAUCACAUGAUCAACCCCGGUCAUAGAAGAGAUCAACUAACUAAAUUAAGUUUCCAAGGUAAAUGGUAUUCAGUGGCAAUGUCCAUGUGUAAAUGCAUUUUCUCCCAGUUAUGUCCUCUAACUGUCCCUCUAGCUCCAGCACAACAAACCGAGCAUAAGGCCAACGAGAACCUCAACGUUAAAAGCACAGGAAGAAAAUGAAAACCCAUGCUGUUAAUUGAAGCCGCUUGUGGUCUACAGACAUUCUAUGAAAAGCAGCAACAAAAUAAGCAGUGAUCUGCACAUUCUAUAGCAGGACUCUACAGGGCACAUAUUUUAUUCACAUCAUGCAUCUGAAUAUCUUGCAGCCUGGAACUUUAAUUUAGCCGCAACAGUGAAUCUGUGACAAUAAAGGAUUUUAUAAAUACCAGAAAAGGCCUGGGUUUCAGGUCUGUUUGUGUGCUUGCCAACUCCAUGGCAGGCAGUUUGUACUAGAGCAGAACCAGCCUGAUACACCAAGCACCAUCUAAAACAAUCAGAAUGUAGACUGUUCCUAGAUUCUAGACUGUUCCGAGAUUCUAGACUGUUCCGAGAUUCUAGACUGUUCCUAGAUUCUAGAUUGCUAAUGAUCUGUUUUGUUGGUACUGUCAACACCUUCCAACAAAAUGUGGUUGUGUGAACAUACAGGAAUUCAACUUAAAAUCAAGAAACAAACUGACCAUGUCACUGGAUUCAGGUGAAAAAUUAGGGGAAAGAAACAAAACAGAAUACAUUGAUAGCUAAUCCAACAUUUUUUAAAUGGAUUCAAUGUCGUCAUAUUACAUUUUUCUAUUGAAAUAAUGUGGCAACAACAUUGCUCCAACCACUGUUCAUCCACAGCAUUGUCACUGGUUCUCAUUCUACACCAUGACAGCACAGACCUGGAAAACAUGAGCAGAAACAGAGGAGCAGCCAGGCCGGCUCGUUCUAGCCCAGCUCUCAAACCUCUCCUUAGACACAGAGGGUGCUCUAUUAUGUUGUAGCCCUGAACAUGCCCAUGUAAUAAAUCAAGUAAACAGAAUGGCUGAACAGUCGCAGUGGUGGGGGUCUAUGCGGAGAUGGGUCUCUACCUAGAAAUGAUUACACUGGGUCUAUGUGGAGAUGGGUCUCUACCUAGAAAUGAUUACACUGGGUCUAUGUGGAGAUGGGUCUCUACCUAGAAAUGAUUACACUGGGUCUAUGUGGAGAUGGGUCCCUACCUAGAAAUGAUUACACUGGGUCUAUGUGGAGAUGGGUCUC